rnacentral:rRNA from 1 species
CAAUAGCGUAUAUUUAAGUUGCUGCAGUUAAAAAGCUCGUAGUUGGAUUUCGGGUGGGAAUGGCCGGUCCGCCGUUUCGGUGUGCACUUGCUACGCCCACCUUGCUGCCGGGGACGUGCUCUUGAGUUCACGCUCGGGACACGGAGUCGGCGAGGUUACUUUGAGUAAAUUAGAGUGUUCAAAGCAGGCCUACGCUCUGAAUACAUUAGCAUGGAAUAACACGAUAGGACUCUGGCCUAUCUUGUUGGUCUGUAGGACCGGAGUAAUGAUUAAGAGGGACAGUCGGGGUCAUUCGUAUUUCAUUGUCAGAGGUGAAAUUCUUGGAUUUAUGAAAGACGAACUACUGCGAAAGCAUUUGCCAAGGAUGUUUUCAUUAA